UAUACUGUAUGGCUAUAUAAAAAAUGACUUUACAGAAAAAAAAGUUCCCUUCAUUGAUUCAGAAGACAGGGGAAGGGAAGAAAUACAAUGGUCUGAGUCUCCAUUGCAGGCCUCGGCUGAGACCGGGAAGCUAACCCUGUUUGGACAAGUAGAUGAAGAGGAGACAUAUGAAGUUACUGAUGAUGUAGAUCAGUCUACACUGCAGGUACAGUCUACAGUGGAUUCAAAAUGCGGGAUUAUCAAUGAACAGGAAUCUCAAAAUAUAAAUGAUCCCCCCAUGGAAUGCGAUGAUGUUGUAGAAAGCCUACGUUCCAUUAAAGAGGACCAGUCCUGUGACUUGAUGUAUGUCAGCACAAGGCAAGAUGGGAUACACGAAGACUCCAAAAAUAUGAUGGAAACAAGCAAAGACAAUGAAGCUGAGGUACACCGACUUUUUUGAAUGUUUAAUCUUUAUCUUCUAUUUAGUUACCUCACUGGAUUACUAUCAUUCAUUGAAAUAGAUAUAUAAAGUUACAGGCAAAGGAUUGGCAAUAACAAUAUUUUGGCUUACCCUAGCUGUCACGACGAUAUAAUCUCCCCAGCAUAUUCUGGGUCUAAACCAGGGACUUCUCCCUGUUGGACAUGCCCGAAACACCUACAGUACAAAGGGAGUCAUCCAGGAGGCAUGCUAGAUAGAUGCGAGACCCAUCUCUACUGGCUCGUUUCGUUGCAGAGAAGCAGCUCCUCCCAAAUGUAUGAACUGCUCACACUAUCUCUAAGGCUUAGCUCAGACACCCUGCAGAGGAAACUCAUUCUUCUGGUUGAGGCAGCCACUCAUUCCCCCGCCAAGACAGGGCAGUCCACCCUUUUCUGCUUGAGAACCAUCGCCUUAGACUUCAAGGUGCUGAUUCUCAUUCCCCCAAGUGCAUGCUGCAGUUCGCAGUCCUGCAAAGACACGAUCCUGUGGCCACCGAACCCCUCCGCCCCUUGGCCUAGAAAUUCUGUCCAUGAAAGUUAUGAACACAACCAAUGACAAAACGCAGUCCUGGUGGAGUCCAGUGCUCACUGGAAACGAGUUUUGCUGCUCACAAUGUGAACCAAACUCUCUCUCUGUUUGCACGGGGACCUGAUGGCCCACAGUCACUUGAACUGCACCAAGUCUCUGUCUCACUGUCACAGAAGUGCAAGUACUGAUGCACUGCGGCGUAGGUUUGCUAGGACACAGAAAUUCCUUUAAACCUAUACAGUCAUUUAAUUGAUUUAUUUCCUAGGCGUGUUGACAAGGCAGACUGAAUCCCUUGAAUCCUGCCUAAUGGUAAUACACUUGAAUAUAUUUAUAUAUUUCUGUAUACUAUUGUGUUGUAUAAUUCAUAUAAUUAUAUGAAUUAUUCUCAAGCUUUUUUGGACUGUAAGCUUUACUUCUAAAUGUAGGCCUAUAAUGUAAAAAGUUUUGAUUUGUUACAUGUUAAGCUUUCUGAACACUAAUAUUGCAUUUGGGCAUGCAAAGCAAAUUCAUUUACAUACGACAUGCCCAUAUUUUGGUGUUUCUCCUCCCAAAACACGUAUAGAACUCCUGACAAUGGGACAGAGCGUUAAGUGAAAAUAACGUGCAGCUAUGCCCUUCUUUG